rnacentral:rRNA from 1 species
AUUCCAGCUCCAAUAGCGUAUAUUAAAGUUGUUGCAGUUAGAACGCUCGUAGUCGGAUUUCGGGGGGGGUCGACCGGUCUGCCGAUGGGUACGCACUGGCCGACGCGUCCUUCCUUCCGGAGACCGUCUCACUCUUAACUGAGCGGAGGCGGGAGACGGAACGUUUACUUUGAAAAAAUCAGAGUGUUUCAAGCAGGCAGCUCGCUCUUGCAUGGAUUAGCAUGGGAUAAUGAAAUAGGACUUUGGUGCUAUUUUGUUGGUUUCGAACACCGAAGUAAUGAUGAGCAGGGACAGUCAGGGGCACUCGUAUUCCGCCGAGAGAGGUGAAAUUCUCAGACCAGCGGAAGACGAACUACUGCGAAAGCAUUUGCCAGGGAUGUUUUCAUUA